ensembl:lncRNA
GGAAUUCUCUACAUGAUCAGCGGGCGAGUUUUCAAGGCAACAGUCAGCAGCGAUAAACCACCUGCAUAUCUCAAGGCGGGCAUAUGGUUGGAGAUAGCAGCCCUCCAGGUGCUGACACAGAACGCUCCCUGUUCUUUGUUCCCACCGGUGACAGACAGAGCGGAUGGCGACUUUUUCACUGGGAAUUAGGGAGUGUGGAAAAGGGACGGAGCGCCGGUUUAAUCAUGCCGUCCAGCACCAGGAGGAACCCUUCCAAGUGAGGCGGCCCUUUUUAAUGCUGCUUAAGAGGUCUCCUCGAAGAGACCUCUCCCUCCAGCCGACCUCCAGAGGCUCCGUCACAUGAUCCCUCUCAUGAGCCUCAUAUAGCCGCGCUAAGUCCAAUGUUUACUGAGAAAUAAUGCGGCCUUCAAACCAAAUAUCACUCCUUAACCACGCCGCUAAAAUCACCGGGCAGCCAGUCUGUCAGCUGCUAUUUUCCUUUGCUAUUAAAAACAAAGGGGCUUCCGAGGGUGCAUCCUAAAAUAACUAUCUGCAGACAGAAAGACCAC